UGGCCGUGUGUCUCUGCUUGCGGCACAGUA
rnacentral:sRNA from 1 species